UCUUCUCCCUCCUCUGUCUGUAGUUUGUACUUUGUCCUGAUUCUGGCUUUUGAUACUGAUAUCUCUACAACACCAGGUUUCCGAGCAUGCCAUAUAUUCAUUUCUAGCAUCAAGCUCAAAAUGCAUAUCUAUCUGCUGAAGUCCGACAUCACCAUCAGCUCCACCCAGAGGAUCUCACAGUAAAACCACAGGAACCAGAGAGCAAUAUGACAUCUCUGCUGACGUGAGCACAAGAGGCUCUCCUCCCCUCCUCUACCUCCCCAAGCAGUGACCUUGCAAGCUCAUCAGCACGGACUGGUCCAGCGUGCGGAAGAACUGGAGCAAGGAGGCUGGCAGCUGGCAGGGUUGGGGUAGAGGGAAGGGCAGGGAAAGGUGGAAGCAGGUAGAUACACGAGAAUAGGGAGGAGAGUGACUGCAGAAAGAUGAAAUAGUGUUCUCACUCUCCAGCAAGUCAAUUUUGAAACAUCAAAUUAAAAAAAAAAAAAAAAUUCUUGAGAA